CAGCAGCCGCGGUAAUACGAAGGGUGCAAGCGUUAAUCGGAAUUACUGGGCGUAAAGCGUGCGUAGGCGGUGAGUUAAGUCUGCUGUGAAAUCCCCGGGCUCAACCUGGGAAUGGCAGUGGAUACUGGCUCGCUAGAGUGUGUCAGAGGAUGGUGGAAUUCCCGGUGUAGCGGUGAAAUGCGUAGAUAUCGGGAGGAACAUCAGUGGCGAAGGCGGCCAUCUGGGACAACACUGACGCUGAGGCACGAAAGCGUGGGGAGCAAACAGGAUUAGAUACCCCCGUAGUCCCUGUCUCUUAUAC
rnacentral:rRNA from 1 species